UGCGUGUUUUCGUUUAAAUAA
ensembl:piRNA 21ur-4156 ncRNA